ACUUCUCAUAGAGGUGUUGCAGGUAUGUCUGCUAUGUCACUUGUAUGCAAGUAUGUGGCAGAGAAGAGAGAAGUUAUGUCUACACUUACUGUUCUGAUCCAUGAAUAUCUGAACAAUUAGUAGCCCAACUUG